UACGUAGGGGGCGAGCGUUAUCCGGAAUUAUUGGGCGUAAAGCGUACGUAGGUGGUCUUGUAAGCGUGAGGUGAAAGCCUGCAGCUUGACUGCAGCGAGCCUCAUGAACUGCAAGACUUGAGUGCAGGAGGGGCAAGUGGAACUCCAUGUGUAGCGGUGAAAUGCGUAGAUAUAUGGAAGAACACCGGUGGCGAAGGCGACUUACUGGACUGUAACUGACACUGAGGUACGAAAGCGUGGGGAUCAAACA
rnacentral:rRNA from 1 species